GCUGGUGUGGCUCAGUGGUUGAGCAUCAACAAGAAGUCACCAGUUCAAUUCCUGUGCCACAAGAUUUUAAAAGAUAAAAGCUUAUGGUACAAGACCAGCAACAGUCAACGAACAGCGAGCACACAAAUACUGAAGAAAUUAUUCUUGAGGUUUAGGAUUCCAUUGCUUUGCAUUAUCAGCAGUGCCUGGACCAGAAUGGUCAUCAGUUUGAAAACAGGCAUAACAACAACAACAAAAAAACUAUUCAUUUCUGUAGAUUCUUUUAAGUUUUAAAAAAUUAACUGUACGUUAAUAAAGACUAACUUUAUAAUCAU